rnacentral:ncRNA from 2 species
UAGCAUUCGUUUUGCGCUGGUUAGCCUGAAAACAGGCCGGGAACACGGUGGGAAUCCGUGACUGACGCGCAGCGGUGAUAGAGAACGAAAGCACAUGGACGUAAGUUCCGAACACUGCUUCUGCAUGCUGUGCAAUACAGCUAUUGGAAGUGGGAAGUUGUUGCCCUAGGUGGUUGUCCAACCAAGCUCUUAAGUCCGAAGACCAACCAGUGUACCAAGCAGACU